GUCUUUCCCGCCAUGUCGUUCGUGGAGAGCGCGAAGCGCUCCUCUUUGCAGCGCCGCCGACGCGGCACCCCAGUCCCUUUCGCUCGGCCGAGGUUAUCCGCCUUGACUCAAGGGGACAGUUGGGGUGAAGGUGAAGUCGACGACGAGGAGGGAUACGACCAAGUAGCCCGCGACCUGCGGGCGGAACUGUCCGCGGGGGCGUCGCCGGAGCCUAGAAAGGGCGCGCUGCUCCCGCCGGAGAAGGACGGCUCUCCCGUCCUGCCUGACAAACGCAACGGCUUCUUCUCGGCGGAGGCGCGCGGCCCAGCCCGGGCGCGGCGGUGGCCGGUGCAGGUCCUCUCGAUUCUCUGUGCGCUGCUGUUUGCCGUCCUCCUCGCUUGCCUUCUCGCCAUCGCCUACCUGAUCGUGAAAGACUUACAUGCUGAGAAUUUGAAGAAUGAAGACGAUGUAGACACGGGGCUAUUAGGAUUCUGGACUCUACUUAUAAUAUCCCUAACUGCUGGGUUCUCCUGCUGCAGCUUUUCUUGGACAGUGACUUACUUUGACUCUUUUGAGCCAGGAAUGUUUCCUCCUACUCCUCUUUCACCUGCCAGGUUCAAGAAACUUACUGGACAUUCUUUCCACAUGGGCUAUAGCAUGGCAAUUUUGAACGGCAUUGUAGCUGCUCUUACUAUUGCAUGGUGCCUCAUGUAAACCUGCACUGAAACAGUAUUCUUGGCAAAGCUUAGUCAUGAUUGCUUUGUAGUACCAGGGAAGAAGAUCAUUGCCUACUCAGAAGACCAAGAAACCUGCUGUUCGUUAUGUGAUUCCGAUGUCUGCCAUAUCAUCAUUAUGGAGGACCUUCUUAAGCAUCAUUCUUCAACCUAGGCACUGGGUUAUCUGAAUAUUAAGUUUCAAGUAGUUUCUUAAAAUUGGCCCCAGCUGAAGAACCUAAGGCAAAAUGGAUAUGACAGAGGACCUGAUCAAAAAGACAUCCGGUGCCCAUCAAUGCGCAUGCCAGCCCUGCUGGUAUUUCAGAAAAGCCUGCAGAGUAUCACUCCUCCUGCGUGCCAUCUCCUAUGCAGCUUACCACUGGUGUAUAACCUUGGGAAGAAUCAUGGGCAGCUACUACCCACGCUUAUUUAAUCGUCCUUUUUAGGAAGAUGUCACAUUACAAAAAAAUAAUAAUAAAAAAAUAGGCCUGCUCCCCAGAAUAAUGUAGGUUCUUACUGAAGAUUUAAUGGAAAAUGGAGAAGAGAGUUUAGAUUACAUACAUCAAAAUAAACCUGAGGAAAAUCUCUGUAUUACAUCUCUGAUCUAUUCCCAAAUGUUCUUUCUGGCUGGCAGUAUCUUUAUGUCCACACCCUAAUCUCUCCUGCAGCCUCGAAAACCUCAUCUAUUUUCUGGAGCCCUUCUGCUUGGUCCAUACCUCACUUUGCAAAAUGAAACAUGUUGGCCAACCAGCUCUUUGCCCUUAAGAAAUCAAUUCAGGCUCAGGUACUAUAGUCUAUUGUUAUUCACGUCUGCCCUUGAAGCUUUAGUCCAG